GAUAAAGAGGGGAAUUAAACCCAUAUGUGUAGGACUACAGCCUACUGCCUUACGCUCGGCCACUUUAAC
rnacentral:tRNA from 1 species